GACGAACGCUGGCGGCGUGCCUAAUACAUGCAAGUCGAACGAACCGCGACUAAGUGCUUGCACUAAGUCAAGGUGAGUGGCGAACGGGUGAGUAACACGUGGGUAACCUACCUCAUAGUGGGGGAUAACAGUCGGAAACGACUGCUAAUACCGCAUAGGACAUAGGAUCACAUGAUCCAGUGAGGAAAGGUGGCGCAAGCUAUCGCUAAGAGAUGGACCCGCGGUGCAUUAGCUAGUUGGUAGGGUAAAGGCCUACCAAGGCGAUGAUGCAUAGCCGACCUGAGAGGGUGAUCGGCCACAUUGGGACUGAGACACGGCCAAAACUCCUACGGGAGGCAGCAGUAGGGAAUCUUCCGCAAAGGACGCAAGUCUGACGGAGCAACGCCGCGUGAGUGAAGAGGGUCUUCGGAUCGUAAAGCUCUGUUGUUAGAGAAGAACAGCGCAUAGAGUAACUGCUAUGCGUGUGACGGUAUCUAACCAGAAAGCCACGGCUAACUACGUG
rnacentral:rRNA from 1 species